rnacentral:sRNA from 1 species
UUAAACUUAAUAAAACGUUAUCAAUAUUUAAACUUUUAAAAAGUUUAAUAUAUCACAAUUUUUUAACAUCAUUAUAUAAUAUAUAGAGUUUAAAAAAAAAUCAAAAUUUUUUCCGUGAUUCGAAAUUUUAAAAAUGAAAAUAUAUUAACCAAUUGACGAAAAAUAUGUGGUUCAAUGUCCCGCAUCGACUAAAAUAUUUAAACAAAUGAUUCAUAAACAUAUCAUAAAUAAGAUCAACAUUAAUAAAAUAAAUGAU